CCAACAGGGAUUGCCUCAGUAACGGCGAGUGAAGCGGCAACAGCUCAAAUUUGAAAUCUGGCGCCUUCGGCGUCCGAGUUGUAAUUUGUAGAGGGUGUUUCGGGGGCGGAACCGGCCUAAGUACCUUGGAACAGGGCGUCAUAGAGGGUGAGAAUCCCGUAUGCGGCCGGCGACAAUCCCAUGUGAAACCCCUUCGACGAGUCGAGUUGUUUGGGAAUGCAGCUCAAAAUGGGUGGUAAAUUUCAUCUAAAGCUAAAUACCGGCCAGAGACCGAUAGCGCACAAGUAGAGUGAUCGAAAGAUGAAAAGCACUUUGGAAAGAGAGUUAAAAAGUACGUGAAAUUGUUGAAAGGGAAGCGCUU
rnacentral:rRNA from 1 species